AUUGAACGCUUGCGGCAGGCUUUACACAUGCAAGUCGAGCGAGCGGCGGACGGGUUAGUAAUGUCUGGGAAACUGCCUGAUGGAGGGGAAUGACGACUGGAAACGGUAGCUAAUACCGCAUACCAUCAGAUGUGCCCAGAUGGGAGUGGCUAGAAGGUGGGGUAAUGGCUCACCUCGGCGACGAUCCCUAGCUGGUCUAAGAGGAUGACUCGCCACACUGGAACGGAGACAGGGACGAGACGCCUACGGGAGGCAGCAGUGGGGAAUAUUGCACAAUGGGCGCAAGCCGGAUGCAGCCAGGCCGCGUGUGUGAAGAAGGCCUUCGGGUGGUAAAGCACUUUCAGCGAGGAGGCGUUACUCGCAGAAGAAGCACCGGCUAACUACGUGCCAGCAGCCGCGGUAAUUC
rnacentral:rRNA from 1 species